rnacentral:rRNA from 1 species
ACUCAAAGGAAUUGACGGGGGCCCGCACAAGCAGUGGAGUAUGUGGUUUAAUUCGAAGCAACGCGAAGAACCUUACCAGGGCUUGACAUCCCUCGAAGUUGGUAGAGAUAUCAACGUCCUUCGGGACGAGGAGACAGGUGGUGCAUGGUUGUCGUCAGCUCGUGUCGUGAGAUGUUGGGUUAAGUCCCGCAACGAGCGCAACCCCUGUUGUUAGUUGCCAGCAUGUAAAGAUGGGCACUCUAGCAAGACUGCCGGUGACAAAUCGGAGGAAGGUGGGGACGACGUCAAAUCAUCAUGCCCCUUAUGUCCUGGGCUACACACGUACUACAAUGGCUACUACAACGGGAAGCUAAGCCGCGAGGUGGAGCAAAUCCCACAAAGGUAGCCCCAGUUCGGAUUGUAGGCUGAAACUCGCCUACAUGAAGUCGGAAUUGCUAGUAAUGGCAGGUCAGCAUACUGCCGUGAAUACGUUCCCGGGCCUUGUACACACCGCCCGU